rnacentral:rRNA from 1 species
CGAGGAAAAGAAACUAACAGGGAUUCCCUUAGUAAGGGCGACUGAAACGGGAAGAGCCCAGCGCAUAACCUCGAACCCUCACCGAGGCGUCUUCGAGGGGUGUUGCGUUUCAGAGGGUCUAGCACGCCGGCCAUUCUCGCCUAAGUCUCGUUUGAAAGCGGCUCAUUACCCAUGGAGGGUGAUAGGCCCGUAUGGCGACUCACCCGUGAGGGAUACCUUGGCCGGCGGAAAGGACUUUUCUGUAGAGUCAGGUUGCUUGAAACUGCAGCCUAAAGUAGGUGGUAAACUCCUUCU